UACGUAGGGUCCGAGCGUUGUCCGGAAUUACUGGGCGUAAAGAGCUCGUAGGUGGUUUGUCGCGUUGUCCGUGAAAACUCACAGCUCAACUGUGGGCGUGCGGGCGAUACGGGCAGACUGGAGUACUGCAGGGGAGACUGGAAUUCCUGGUGUAGCGGUGGAAUGCGCAGAUAUCAGGAAGAACACCCGUGGCUAAGGCGGCUCUCUAGUACGGUACUGACGCUGAGACGCGAAAGCGUGGGGAGCGAACAGG
rnacentral:rRNA from 1 species